GAAAAAAGAAAUAAAAAAAAAGAAAAAUAAUAAUAAUUUUAAAAGAAGAGUGUGAACCUCUGUGUUUAUCAAUUUGUUUACAGCAGAGCUCUUCUAACUGGCAAAGUUUCAGGUAUCACAAGCCCCCCAGGUCUUUUCCAGACUUAAGACUCCAGGAAUCCUGCAAGUCUUCUGUGGAAGCAGCAAGCUGCACACUGGCAGUUCUCAACAGCUUUAGUAAUCAUCAGUAGCACAGAGUCCUCUAUAAAUUAGUAUUUCUUUGUGUCAGUUAUAAGGAUGUUGCAUUGAAUCCCCUGUUAGGUAUGCUCUUCAAUUUUCACAUCCCUGAAGUUUUCCUUUUUUAGCAUGCUUGAAAUAUUGAACUAAGAACUUGACAUUAUUGGAGGGAGAGCUUGGUGUUUCAACGGCCUUAUUACAAAAGAAUAAUAAAAAAAUGCGGAAAUUAAAAAGUUGGCAGAUUCUAGAAAGGGGCUGCAUAACUUCUUUCUCCUCACGUACUCUCUAUUCCAAAUAGAGCAAAAAAGUUUUCUUCUACAAGAAGACUUUUCAAAAAGAAGACUUCGUAUAUCAAUAACCAACAACUGUCACUGCAUUUGCUAAUAAUGUAUAAGAAGAUUAGUUUAAUUAGUCAAGCAGUUAAUACUGCUAUUAUUUGAACUAGUUUUCAGCACUGACACUCUCUUGAAAUUAGUUUUAUAUUCCUCAGGCUAUAGUUUCAGCCUGUUUACAGACCAGUUACAUAGCACUGGUUCACAUUAGUUAACCAUAACACAUUGUAUUAAACAUAUCAAAUUAGCUUCCCAAUCAAAGCUUUUAAAAAGAAAAUACAUACUAGUAAGUUUUAAAGCAAGUGAUUUCAUUCUCUUUUGCUAUAAUUUUGUAACAGCCAUAUGCAUAAAAAAAGUGAAAAGUAAUUUGGCUUAAAAAAAGGUGUUUCUUGCCUGGAAGAGGGAAAAAAAAAUCCUCAAAGUCAGAAAUUUCUAGUAACAUUAGGAGUCAAGGUAUCACUAAUAGCUAUCACAUGAAAUUUAAAUCUUAGGAAUGUGUCUAAUGAUUUAGAAAAUUAAAACUGUAUGCAAAAUCAUUAGUAAGGAAUUCUAAUUGAACACUAAGUCUUUUUCUCAUCUCUCAAUGCUGUAAAAACUGAAUAUUUUACAGAGCUUUUACAAAUAAACACAGUGCAGACUAUUCCUAACAUACUUGUGAGCAACAUAGAAGAUAAAUUCACAGCAGAGGUGAGACCUGAGUGCCUGAAAUCCCACGUAACAUUAAGAGCCAUUUUUCUUGCUUAGAAAAAAAAAUAAAUUGUAGCACACAAUUAUCUUACAUUUCUGUAAAAUAUACACUUACAAAUUAAGAACUUGAUUUGACUUUAUAAACACUCUAUAGUCAAGCACUAUACUUCAGGACCUGUAACUCAUUAGAAAAUUCUACCUUAGAAAAAUGAAGAGACUAAUUCUAAACAAAGUAAUUAUUCCUUGAAAACAGACUGCACACAGUAAGACGUUAUCACACUAAUAGCUCUGACGAAAUCCACAGAGCAAUUAAGCUAAAUGAAAAGAGGUAUCAGAAUGUGGUCCAAAACACUUUUGACAUCAACUAUUUACAUAAUAAAUGUAAAUACAGAAUGUUUACUACUACCUCUACCCUCCAAGAUGAAGGUUCACUCACCUAUCCAUGUAAAGUACUACUGUAUAUACGCCUUAAUCAGGAAGUAUUUUUUAAAAUCCUUUUGUCACUUGAUUGUCUGUCAGUAGUUUGACUCAAACUAUUUGUCUGAGUGAUGAAUGCAAAUUUGCACUUUGGUAGUCAGGCAUAAAAAGAAUAACUCUAUAUAUUUUGAUCUCCAAGGUAUGAAAAACAGCCACUUAAACCAUCUGAAAGUAAGAGACUGCCUCAAAACAGGAGACUGAAAAGUUUUCUCUGAAAGCUUUGUGUGAAAAUUGUUUUAUUUUCAAAAAUUGUUUGUUUGGCUCACAUUUUAUAGCUUGAAAAAGACUAUUUGACUUGCUUCUAAUUAUUAGUCUUUGCUUCACAAGCUUAACAGAGUGCACACAAACAACACAUUUAAGCAUCAAUAGUGAUAGACAGCUAAAUAUACUUAUCCAUAUCCUAUGGAUUUAUAAUAAUAACACUCUGCAUCUUGACAUGUGUUCUCCUCGUUAGCAAAGCCUGAAAUUCUCAGAAGAAAUGAGGCUGAUUUUAUUUAGAAGAUGUAGCAUUCAAAAAUGACCAGCUCAUGAACUGAAUACAUGUCAACAACCUUGCUGCAGGCCUUCAGCAAGUACCUGGCCAGGGAGCAGGGAAGUUGUAUCAACCUCCUCUGAGCAAAGUCAGUUGUGAGGAGUCAGGAGGUGACAUCGGCAGUUCUGGCACUUGUCCUGUACUUCUCCUUGAAAAACUGGAGAGGUGAUGGACAGUUGGUCUAGAAGGGCCUACUUAAUGCAAUACUUUUAAAAAUAGUGUAACUCAUUCGUAGGAUAAAAGAAGUCUUGAAACUUUCCCCAAAAUUACAUCAAUGAAAGGUUUUCCAGGCAGUAAAACAUUCUUUUACCUAAUUUCUCUUUAAGACAUUGAUCUUUAGUCUUCCUCGGUUCAUACACUUUUCUUUUUCCUACCAAUGUCCUAUUUGAAUAAAUACACCUACAUGCAAGGUUCAUGGCUAUUACAGGAGAAAUAAGAUGACAACAUUUUCUCGCUGUCUCACCAACUGUUACCCUUAGGAAAAAGAAAAACCUAAAAACUCUAUUACAUACUGUACAUAUAAACGAUGCUUCUAUAAUCCAGUUGAAGUCAGCAUGUUAAUUCAGGUCGCUAACUGGGUGAAAUCCUGAAAGGUAUUGAGCACUAUCAAUGCAUAUGGCAGUCUGAGAAAGUUGAAGAGGCUUCAUCACAUCCCAGGAUGAGAAAAUGUUCUCAGAUCCCUCCUGCAACAUGAUGGUAAAGUUUGCUUUCCAUCUAACAAAUAAUAAUAGCUAAUAACUACACUAUUCUUCCAGAAUUUCACAGACUUCUCCCUAAACAUCUCUUCCUUCUCUCCAGAGCAUUUAACAUAAAUCUUAACCAUUCCUCCUCGAGGCUCCUCCCCUGCAAGAAAGUUGGUAUGCCUUAGCACAGUGAAAUCAUUGCUCUAAAAGCCAGCCUGCUCAUUAAAUUAUUCUGCUAGCUGUGUGUUCUCUCAUUAAAAAUGUAUAAAGAUCAGAUAAUUGCAGCACAUAUUAUUAACCUUGUUUUCCUUCCUUUCAUGUACAGGUUCUGUUUUGCUGCUAAGACAAAGACUUGGAAAGGACAGGGGAAACACUCAGCUAAACUACAAUAUGAAAAACUCUUCCAGUUUUCCUUCAAGACUACAAGGAAUCAAAGUGCAGUCAAAAAUGCCAAUACUUUUACAACAGGUGCAAAUCUCAGAAAAUGUUCUGCAGUGAGUGUCCGUCUCCUUCAGCCAUCCGUCCGCAUGCGGCUGGAAAGGCACCAGCCCCACAGUGCGACUGAGCAUGUAAUGGGCUCAAGUUACAGGAGAUUAGCAGGAUUUCCCCUGUAACUGCUGCUCCCAUCUGCCAGAGACCAGACAUUGGAGCUGACAGCAGGAAGACAAUCUCGCCUGUUGCUCUCAUGACCCUUCGGCUGGUGCCCCAGGGACAUGCAUGAGACCAGCCCUUGAGAGCACACGGCAGAGGGGGUGUCAGAAAAGGCCGGUGGACCAAAGCAUGGCAUGAAGCUGGGCAGAAGAGGGAGAGACAGCAAUGAGAGGGAAAGGGAGGAGGACAGCCAAGAGACAAGAGUCUGGAAAUCCUGGAUCUGGUCAAGCAGAAGGUUACAACACAGAGGAAGAUGGUGCCCAAACCAGAGAAGGGAGAGUAAGCAGCACAGGCACCACCAGCCACCAGGAGCCAUCCACCCUCUCCACAGACCACAUGCACAUACCCCAACACGUGGCAAGAUCUUCCGUGGUCUGUUAGUUUGCCUCUAAAGAGGGAGGAAACUUGCAAGUUACCUCAACCCCUAACCCCCCAAACCCAAGAUAAGUCACUAACACAACCCCUCAAAAGGUGAGGGUUCAGCACCACCUCCACAAUCCUAUUUUAAAUGCCACUGCUUCACAGCGCAUACACUGAUCUUCAACCACUGUAGAGCUUUAACUGCAGUCAAACAGGGUUGAGGUGCUCCCAGAUACCAUCCCUAGGACUCCUGAAUCAAAACCACAAAACUAGCAGCCACACAGAUCCUCGUUAUCAUGGGUUAUUAUGUUUUAGAUCCUCUUACUCCAAAGGAUCAGAAGCCCUUCAAACUCAAUAGGGAAUGCCGAAAAAAUAUCACAUCCCAUUUGUGGACCUUUUAGCUAGGACCUAUCAAAAAGCUCAAGAGAAAAUGUAUGCUCUUUCUCAAAAAUGGCACUUGAGUAGUGCCAUAACAAGGCACGAAUUCAUGCACUAAAGAAAAAGGUAUUUUUAAAAAUAAUUGCUCUGUACAUUGAGGAGUUAAUUGUUCUAAAAUGACUGAUUCCAAAUGGAGAUAUGCCCAUGCGCCCAUUCAUUUUCCACAUCGGUUACAAAGAAAACGGCCAGAAUUUCAAUUUUCAAGCCGAUUUAUACAACCAUAUUAUAUAUUUAACUGCAAAACAACAUCAUCUUAGAGAAGCUGAGAAAUUCAGAUGUCAAACUCAACAAAGAAUAACAAACAAAGGUAAAUUCCCAACUCAGAAAAUGCCAUCUGCUCUGCUUCACAUGCUCCUGUAAUUAAUGAAUCAAGGGGAAAAUGCUGCUAAAGGUGACUAUUACACACAAUUUUCUGAAUGAUGUUGAUAUAACUUUUGGAGAAAAGGACAAUUUUGGAAGUAAUAAAGAGGAGGAGAACUGAAAAAUGCAGAACCCACACAGUUGUUUUUCCUUCUUUACUCUUGAAUCAUAAUUCCAGAAACAACAAAACUUGUCAAUUUAAGGAGAGUUUUGCAAGAAGUGUGGAGCAUAUGUAACACUAACACUGUAGUCACCAAGCAAUUUAAGUGACAUUCAGUGUAACAGAUAGAUGAUUUUGAGCCUUGCACAGAUGACCUAUGGCAACAGUGACAUUUUGUCACUGAAGAGAAAUAGGCAUUUGUGGGCUGUGAUUCAUCCUAUCCCAAAGCAGCUAUUCUAAGAGAUUCCAUCAUAUCCUAAAAGCAUCUAUGUUUCUUUACUGGUUACCUGAGAUGGUCACACUUAGGCUUCUUCUAUCGUGUCCUUCAUUAAACAUGUAAGAGAUAAAAUCUUACUACAGAAGAACCUUUAUUAGGAAUAUAAAUAUUU